rnacentral:rRNA from 1 species
AUUGAACGCUGGCGGCAGGCCUAACACAUGCAAGUCGAGCGGAGCGGCGGACGGGUGGGUAAUGCCUAGGAAUCUGCCUGCUAGUGGGGGAUAACGUCCGGCUACGGACGCUAAUUCCUCAUGCUAUCAGUUGAGCGUAGGUCGGAUUAGCUAGUUGGUGGGGUAAGGGCCUACCAAGGCGACGAUCCGUAACUGGUCUGAGAGGAUGAUCAGUCACACUGGAACUGAGACACGGCCCAGACUCCUACGGGAGGCAGCAGUGGGGAAUAUUGGACAAUGGGCGAAAGCCUGAUCCAGCCAUGCCGCGUGUGUGAAGAAGGCCUUCGGAUUGUAAAGCACUUUAAGUCGGGAGGCGUUACCGACAGAAGAAGCACCGGCUAACUUCGUGCCAGCAGCCGCGGUAAUUC